CAGAGGGGGCAAGCGUUAUUCGGAAUUAUUGGGCGUAAAGGGCGCGUAGGCGGCUUUGCAAGUGACGGGUGAAAUCCCUCGGCUUAACCGAGGAACUGCCUGUCAAACUGCAUGGCCUGAGACCGGGAGAGGUGAGUGGAAUUCCCAGUGUAGCGGUGAAAUGCGUAGAUAUUGGGAGGAACACCAGUGGCGAAGGCGGCUCACUGGACCGGUACUGACGCUGAUGCGCGAAAGCGUGGGGAGCAAACAGGAUUAGAUACCCUGGUAGUCCACGCCGUAAUCGAUGAGUGCUUGGUGUAGCGGGUAUCGACCCCUGCUGUGCCGAAGUCAACACAUUAAGCACUCCGCCUGGGGAGUACGGUCGCAAGGCUG
rnacentral:rRNA from 1 species